AUUGCUCUUUACACCACAACUGCCAGCAUGUCCUUUGGCCAGCUAAGUCCCCCAGCUUGGAAUUCCUUCCACCAACUCUUUUCCCUCAUCAAUUCACCCUUCUUCUUUAAGAUAAUUCUUUAUAACCAGUUCUUGAUCAGGUUUUCAAUCUAUCCUGUGUUGCAUCUUAUGAUGCAUCCUUCUCUGCACCAAACCGUUAAAUAAAUGUUAAUUAUUGGUGCGGUAACUAUGAAAAUGCUUGCAUGAGUCGAAAAUGUAUUCAAUGGAGAAUAUUAGACUGUUAAAUGCAGGAAGACAGGAUUUCCAUUUGAGAGAAAAGGGGAAUAGUUCUACGUUUUAAAAACAGACACGUGUUUAAAAUGAAUCCAACCCUAACCAGAGCAGAUUGCAUUAUAAAUUCAUCAAGGUUUCUUGCAGAUAAGUGAUGGUGAAUGGGGCUGAUAGCAGCAGUGUGCUGCAUUCUUAUGGAACAAUUAGAGCUCUGCUUCUGAAAGCAACCUCGGGAGACAACCCGCCUGUUUAAAAUGCAGGUAGCAUUUCCACGGGAUUUCUGGAAGACCCCAUCUGGAGGCGUAUUGACUUGCUUACGCAAGCAGGACUCUGAGGUGAAGCAUGACAAACGUAAGCACUGCACGUCAACAGGGUUCUCCCGCACUGUAAGUCUGCAACCCUUUCCCUCGCAUCACGGAACAGACUAGGAGGCGAACAGGGACGACUGUGCCUCUGCACCGACUCGCAGCUUCCUAUUAAAGCAAAAAAAACCUGACUUGUCCGAGAGUGAAAGGACUUGACAAACGGGAAGCGAGUUGUCAUUCAGCAUAAUAAGACAACAGCCGAUUAAAGAGAGUGGGCUGACAUUGCAGAGAGCAAAUGGUUACCAAGGAAAUACAAGCGCUCGUCUGAGCAUUCAUCUAGAUGAAUUUUAACAAGACAUUUUAGGAGUGGACGCCACGUUUAAACCAAUCAGCGGCGGGGCCUUCAGCCUUUAUGUCUGCCUUCUUGAAGGCAGACUGAAUACAGAAAUUCAUUGCAGCACUCAGCUAACCUGGUAAUUUCUGAGUCCUUCUGGAAGGAUCCAAGCUGAUUCUGUGAAUACGCACUGUCCUUUUAGUGGGACACUGCUUGUAUAUGGAGGCCAAACUAUCGGCGGAUCUGGUUCAUUUUUUAAUACAAAUCAAUAAUUUAUUUAUGUUUGGAUGUUUGGAUGUUUGUGUUACAGUUUUAUUGUGGUUGUGUGUUCUUUAUUAUUGUACUGCUGCUGACAACCCAAAUUUCCACCGACCCUGGUUGUGUGGCAAUAAAUGAUAUCUAUCUAUCUAUAAGCUGAUUUAAUCAGGGGCAUAUGUUUAAAAUCACGUUCCUUUCUAGUGAAGAUAUAUAUUUUUAAAUGUCUCACACAAAA